rfam:Triticum aestivum genome assembly, contig: Triticum_aestivum_CS42_TGACv1_scaffold_641548_T_4BL-0.096046_6BS-0.079634
GUAGUAUUCCCUCCGUCCCAAAAUUCUUGUCUUACAUUUGUUUAGAUACGGAUGUAUCUAACACUAAAAUGUAACUAGAUACAUCCGUAUUUAGACAAAUUUAAGACAAGAAUUUUGGGACGGAGGGAAUACAAA